rnacentral:misc_RNA from 1 species
UGGCUCAGUGAGGCGUCCGGACUGGCCCAGGGAGGUCGGCAACGACCACCCAGGGCCGGAAAGUUCGUCAAACUUGGUCAUUUAGAGGAAGUAAAAGUCGUAACAAGGUCUCCGUAGGUGAACCUGCGGAGGGAUCAUUACUGAGCGAGGGCGCGAGCCCGACCUCCAACCCCAUGUUUUCCAACCACGUUGCCUCGGGGGCGACCCGGCCACCGCGCCGGGGCCCCCGGCGGACCCCUCAACUCUGCAUCUUUGCGUCUGAGUCACAAAAUAAAAUCAAUCAAAACUUUCAACAACGGAUCUCUUGGUUCUGGCAUCGAUGAAGAACGCAGCGAAAUGCGAUAAGUAAUGUGAAUUGCAGAAUUCAGUGAAUCAUCGAAUCUUUGAACGCACAUUGCGCCCUCUGGUAUUCCGGAGGGCAUGCCUGUUCGAGCGUCAUUACACCACUCCAGCCUCGCUGGGUAUUGGGCGCCGCGGCCUCCGCGCGCCUUAAUGUCUCCGGCCGAGCCGACCGUCUCUAAGCGUUGUGGCACAACUGUUUCGCUUUCGGGACCGGUCUGGCGACGCGCCGUUAAACCCUUUCACCAAAGGUUGACCUCGGAUCAGGUAGGGAUACCCGCUGAACUUAAGCAUAUCAAUAAGCGGAGGAAAAGAAACCAACAGGGAUUGCCCUAGUAACGGCGAGUGAAGCGGCAACAGCUCAAAUUUGAAAUCUGGCGCAAGCCCGAGUUGUAAUUUGUAGAGGAUGCUUCAGGGCAGCGGCCGGUCUAAGUUCCUUGGAACAGGACGUCAUAGAGGGUGAGAAUCCCGUAUGCGACCGGUUGGCACCCGUCACGUAGCUCCUUCGACGAGUCGAGUUGUUUGGGAAUGCAGCUCUAAAUGGGAGGUAAAUUUCUUCUAAAGCUAAAUACCGGCCAGAGACCGAUAGCGCACAAGUAGAGUGAUCGAAAGAUGAAAAGCACUUUGGAAAGAGAGUUAAAAAGCACGUGAAAUUGUUGAAAGGGAAGCGCAUGCAACCAGACUUGUCGGCGGUGUUCCGCCGGUCUUCUGACCGGUCUACUCGCCGCCGGCAGGCCAGCAUCAUCUGGGCGCGCCGGACAAAGGCGCGGGGAAUGUGGCUCCUCGGAGUGUUAUAGCCCCGCGCACAAUACGGCGCCGCUCGGGUGAGGUCCGCGCUUCGGCUAGGAUGCUGGCGUAAUGGUUGUCUGCGGCCCGUCUUGAAACACGGACCAAGGAGUCUAACAUCUAUGCGAGUGUUCGGGUGUCAAACCCCUACGCGUAAUGAAAGUGAACGGAGGUGGGAAGCGCAAGCUGCACCAUCGACCGAUCCUGAUGUCUUCGGAUGGAUUUGAGUAAGAGCAUAGCUGUUGGGACCCGAAAGAUGGUGAACUAUGCCUGAAUAGGGUGAAGCCAGAGGAAACUCUGGUGGAGGCUCGCAGCGGUUCUGACGUGCAAAUCGAUCGUCAAAUUUGGGUAUAGGGGCGAAAGACUAAUCGAACAUC